UCGAUAACGAACGAGACCUCUACCUGUCAUACUACGGUUGCUGAUGUGAAUCGGCUGCUGUUCUAUGAGGGACUGACUGGGGUUACCAGUAGGAAGUUUGAGGCAAUAACAGGUCUGUGAUGCCCUUAGAUGUUCUGGGCUGCACGCGCGCUACACUGAUGGAGGCAGCGAGUCUUGCCUGUGCCGGAAGGCAUGGGAAAUCUUGUGAAACUCCAUCGUGCUGGGGAUAGACCAUUGCAAUUAUUGGUCUUCAACGAGGAAUUCCUAGUAAGCGCAAGUCAUCAGCUUGCGUUGAUUACGUCCCUGCCCUUUGUACACACCGCCCGUCGCUACUACCGAUUGAAUGGCUCGGCCCGUGCCCCCGCCCCGCCCGCCGCGCGCGGCGGGG
rnacentral:rRNA from 1 species